CUGGCGGCAGCUUACACAUGCAAGUCGAGCGGAAACGAUGAUAGCUUGCUAUCAGGCGUCGAGCGGCGGACGGGUGAGUAAUACUUAGGAAUCUACCUAGUAGUGGGGGAUAGCUCGGGGAAACUCGAAUUAAUACCGCAUACGACCUACGGGAGAAAGGGGGCAACUUGUUGCUCUCGCUAUUAGAUGAGCCUAAGUCGGAUUAGCUAGAUGGUGGGGUAAAGGCCUACCAUGGCGACGAUCUGUAGCUGGUCUGAGAGGAUGAUCAGCCACACCGGGACUGAGACACGGCCCGGACUCCUACGGGAGGCAGCAGUGGGGAAUAUUGGACAAUGGGGGCAACCCUGAUCCAGCCAUGCCGCGUGUGUGAAGAAGGCCUUUUGGUUGUAAAGCACUUUAAGCAGUGAAGAAGACUCCGUGGUUAAUACCCAUGGACGAUGACAUUAGCUGCAGAAUAAGCACCGGCUAACUCUGUGCCAGCAGCCGCAGUAAU
rnacentral:rRNA from 1 species